AAUAUAAUUCGAUAAUAUUUUGUUUCCUUUUUUAAAAGAUACUGAAUCUAAAAUGACACAAUCCUAUUGGUUGGUGAAACUAGAAUAAGUCAACAAAAAAUUAGCUUAUGUCGGUAAAACAGUUUAACAAGUCAUUAAUAUAUAUAUAUAUUAUUUUAUAUAGUAAAAUUCUUUAAGUGAUUAGUUACAAUCCCUACAAAAAGGGAACCACUACUACAAUCCCAAAUAAAACGUUAACGAAUUAAUUAAAAGGUAGCAUCUACUUAAGAAAGAAAAGUAUGAUAUUUUGUAGCUUUAACCUCAACAAACUCUCUUUUCUCUCAAAGUUUUCAUCUUCAUCUUUUUUUUCUUUCAGUUUCUUAAACUUUCUAUCAAAAGUAUGUGUAUUUGUUUUUUCUUAUGAAGAACUUCAAAGGAAACUGGAUUUUUCUAAUCAGAAGAACUUCAAAGGAAACUGGAUUUUUCUAACCAGUGGAAUCUGAUUGAAAUCUUUCAGAGUGUUCUUUGUUACUAGGGUCAAGACUCAAGAGCAUCUAAAAAUAUAUAAGGAGAUGAUUCAAAGUGGAAGAAGCCUAGAAGUCUCAAGGAAUCAAUCGGUGGAGAAUUUUACAAUGAACAAGAAGAAAUAAAGAAGAACCGAAGGAUCUCUACAUUUUAACUUUAGUGUAAAAUUGUGUUUGACUAUUGCAAUUAUUUUCUCUUUUAAAUUCAUCAUUGUGUUUCCUUUAAUUUUAGGCAUGUACAUUUUUUGUUGUUAGUUAGUUAUAUGUUCAAUAUAAAAUAAAAAAUGUUAAUGGAAAA